rnacentral:lncRNA from 1 species
CAAAAGCAAAACAAAUUGUUUGAAAUAUUUUAUUGUUUCGUCUAUAAAAUGAUGAUUUUUUCGGGGUUUUGGUGGAAAUGUUGAUGUUCUUCAUAGUGGGAUACAAAAGGUGUGUUAGCGACUGAAUAAAGGAAAAUAUUGCGUGUGAAACAGGGUCAGUAUAGAGCCGGCAGGAGCCGCGAAGAGUGCUGUUGUCGAAGAAAAAUGUCACAAUUAAUUGUAAUCUUGUCCAUUCCGGCCUCUGUGUCAGUUUGAAAAAGCUUUAAAUGUAGAGACAUUUGUGGUUUCUCCAGCAUAAUUUAGCCGUUUAACGCUAUUAUGUUUCUAAUGGUUGAAAGAGCGCGUGGAAAGGGCAAUUUUCAAGAACAAAAACAAUACAAUGUACUGUGUGUUAAUUGCUACUCAGCUAGUCAGCUACUGUAAUAUUAAAAUACCUGAAGAGAGUCUCAAUUCUAAUAUUAAGUCGGUUAUAAACCUUGAUAAUAUUAAAGUUUUCAGAAGAUUUGUAUAUCAGAGGAAUAUUAAAACGAAUUUAGACUUAUAAAACAUAUCAUUAAAAAUAUGAAUAUAGUGAAUUCCAUGUUUGUAUUGUGUUAUCAUCUCUAGAAAUUAACAGUUUAUAAACCAAAUCCUUGUUAUAUUUUUUAACUGCCCUUAUAGCUUUCCUUAUAUGUUUUAAUAUUUGCAAGCAGUUUAGUAGGUUAGGGAUGCAACAGCACUUUUCAAAUUAUUGAAUUGUAACCAAAUUUUGUGUCUGGAUAGGAAGUACUAUUAAAGAUUUACAGUUUGUAAUGAUAGAGUUGGAGCAAGUUAAGCUGCAAUGUGCCUCAGUUUGCCCUACCUUGUUAUUUUAAGCUGUUUAACGCCAGAAUUUUUUCUUGUUAAGGGGAAAGUAUUGGACUUGGUAUUUGAAUGGGUUAACCAGUCCAUCUGCAUGUCUACCUAUCUUUGGUUAAUUAUCUCAUUAGAUCAUUAAGCCACAAUGCUCUUUAGUGCACCCUAUUUUGUUAUUUCACUGUACUUCUGGACAGGGAUGGAUCCAGCAUGAUCUGGUAGGGGGGGGGGGGCUCUGGUGCCAAGUUGUGUUGGUCAUGUGUGCCGCCCGCCCAUCAACUACUGUAUUUGAAUUGUAAUUGUUCACAGUUCACUUAUCAUCAUGUUAUUACUCAAAUUACUGUAUCUCAUUUUGUCUUUUUUGCUUUAUCAUGAAAAAUAGCACCUCCCCUGCAACAUCUCUGGCCAGGGCUAGGGGGGUGCACCCCCCCCCCCAGUAAAUCCAUCCCUGCUUCUGGACAAUAUUUCUCAUCAAUGGCCAGAAAUGUACUUGACUUCAUGUUGAUUACUGCCAUUAAUUAAUUAACUACUGUACUAAAUAGGACAUUCAAGGUUGGAGAUAUAAUAGCAAUGAGGUUGCUAGCUAUCAUUGUAGCAUUCAGGGGCAUCACUAGCCCAAAUUGUCAGUCAUUUGGCAAUUUAUUGUAUCGCAAUCAGGAAAUUGUUUUCGUGGCCAGCAUGAUUUGAAUUGGAUAGGAAGGGGAAAAAACUGAAAUAUGAGUUUUUGUUGCCC